GCAACACCAAGUCACUAGGACAGUCACCUGAGAAACAGGACACAGAUGACCCGGAAGUGGACUUGAGCUCUGAACAGCUAGCUGCUGAGUUUUGAACAGAACUUCAGGAAAGUUGUGCGCUCUGGUGAGUUGGUGGGCUGAGAAGACUGGGUAGGCUGAGGGUGGCGGUGGAAUGGAAUGGAACAUUCCUCCUGUUAUCUUGGAGGGAGGGUUUGGAGUAGAAAGGAAUCCUGCCUUUGCUGCCAACUUGGAUCAUAGACUCUCAAACUGGGAAUUGUGUUGGAAGAGAAUCUUGUUACUGAGGUUCUCAUUAUCCAGCUGAAGAGAUGAGACAAGUGUGGGGUGGGAGGGGAGUGACUUCCCUGAGGCCAGGUGGCCCCUGGUGAGCCCAGACUACAAUCUGCCACCUUUACCCCUUCCUGGUUUGAUCACCUCUAGCUCAGUAAGCAAGGAGUGGCCCUCUAAAGGUUUUUAACUUAAAUU